rnacentral:tRNA from 1 species
GGCGCUCCCCUGCUAAGGGAGUAGGCCCGGAAGGGUCUCGAGGGUUCGAAUCCCUUCGUCUCCGCCA